rnacentral:rRNA from 1 species
GUUGCGGUGAAUACGUUCCCGGGCCUUGUACACACCGCCCGUCACACCAUGGGAGUGGGUUGCACCAGAAGUAGAUAGCUUAACCUUCGGGAGGGCGUUUACCACGGUGUGAUUCAUGACUGGGGUGAAGUCGUAACAAGGUAACCCUAGGGGAACCUGGGGUUGGAUCACCUCCUUACCUUAA